rnacentral:rRNA from 1 species
UACAGAGGUCCCAAGCGUUGUUCGGAUUCACUGGGCGUAAAGGGUGCGUAGGUGGUCGGGUAAGUCUGAGGUGAAAUCUCCGAGCUCAACUCGGAAACUGCCUUGGAUACUAUCCGGCUUGAGGGUUGGAGGGGGGACUGGAAUUCUCGGUGUAGCAGUGAAAUGCGUAGAUACCGAGAGGAACACCAGUGGCGAAGGCGAGUCCCUGGACAACUCCUGACGCUGAGGCACGAAAGCUAGGGGAGCAAACAGG